CCAGAUUGACGAUCUCUGCUUCGACAAUGCUGAGAGGAGGUGCAUGGCCGCCGUCAGCUCGUACCGUGAGGAGUCUCGUUAAGUCAGGCAACGAGAGAGACCCACGCCCUUACUUACCAGCGGAUCCCUUCAGGAUGCCGGGCACAUUAAGGGGGCCGCCAGUGAUAAAAUGGAGGAAGGAAAGGAGGACGGUAGGUCCGUAUGCCCCGAAUUCUCUGGGGUACCCGCGGGGUUCAAAGGGUAGGACAAAGGGUUCCAUCCCCGAAAAGGGAAGGUAAUUUUCUAAACCUAGUUUUAGUUUGGAUUGAGGGGUGUAACUUGCCCUCCAGAAAGUGGAAAGCGUAGUAAUUGCGUGCCAUACUCGCGCGGUGAAUAAGUUCCUGCUCCUUGCACCCCCCCCCCGUCCCACCCCCCAAAAAGGGUUUGGAUGAGGCCUUAGUCUAGCGGAUACGGUCGAAUCUAGGUUUUUCGAGGAGGGCGAAGUCGUAACAAGGUAACCAAGGGCGAA
rnacentral:rRNA from 1 species